UCUUGCUGUUUGCAUCCGCACAAGUGGUCUCGUUGUUCCUUGGGGAAGGGUCUCUUCAGAUUGAAGGACACCCCACGCCGCCAGGGGUCUUUCACAUUGAAGUUGAGCCUUAAAGGAAACCCAGGAUCUGGGGGUCUACUGACCUUCCAAGAACAUCAACUCAAAAUCCAGAAUGCCAGCCUUUUCUACUAAAGUGUGAAACUUGAACAAAAUAAAGCAAUUUUAGGUUUGGAUUCCAUUUUGUCGGGAACUGUCUAGAACUGAGACCCCUGGACUGGCCGGGAUAAUGGAGCAGCAGGGCCAGCAGGGAGGCUGGCGUGCUCCUCCCGCACCUGAGCCGGCCGGCAGUCCUGUCACCACGGGGCCAACCUGUUCCUGUUAUCUUGGCACCUCUCCAUGUUACAACUUCUGCAGAGCACAUCUACACACAACCCUGCUCUGCCUGGACCUAGGCUUUGAUGAGAUUCUAAAAGACAGGACGCACCAGCGAGCUGGAGACCCAAUGCAAGCAACUCUUCCAGGGCAGAAAACUAAACGCCUUUUACUACAAAGCUGUAAUUAAUGGGCGAUAUGAACCCCAGCACUCCAUCUCUGAUUUCAGGUGUGGGGAGCACUCUGCCUGCCACACUCAGCACUCAGCCAGGAGUGGCUCCCACGCGUCACUGCCUUUCCUGGAGAAAAGCAACCGGAUCCCAAAGAGGCUGGAACAGAAAGCAGAUACCUGCACCUGCUUACAGCACCCCUGCUUCCUGCUCUCCCGAGAAAAAACCUGAAACAUGCUUCCAUUAUAAGCAAAAUAGUAUUUUCAGCGGUCCCUUUUUAUAGUCAAUCUAGUAGAACUAAAUUUCCGCACUUGCCUACUCUAUAUUUCCUUCCUCUCAAGCUUGAGCAUCCCACAGUUCCGUACUGACGGGCUCUCGUCCUCUCUGGGUAUGGCGGCGCUCUCGCCGUGCCUCCUCUCCAUGCUAGCUUCUCCACCAGCCUUGCCUUUUUCCUUCUUGCCCUUUGUUCCUCUUGGGUCCUCCUGCCGGCACCUCUGCCUGAGCCACAGCUCUGCACUGUUGGCUCAGGCCCUGGCCUGUCCUCCUGUCUAUAGCUCUUACUACUGCUCCUCCCUCCUGGAGCUGGGGACCAAAGGUGGGCAUAAUGCUUACAGUGGGGCCUGAACUCUGGGGCCUGGACGCUGUCCCUCAGCUCCUUCAG